rnacentral:rRNA from 1 species
CACGUAGUUAGCCGGUGCUUCUUAUACAGGUACCGUCACAAAAGCUUCGUCCCUGUCGAAAGGAGUUUACAACCCGAAGGCCUUCAUCCCCCACGCGGCGUCGCUGCAUCAGGCUUCCGCCCAUUGUGCAAUAUUCCCCACUGCUGCCUCCCGUAGGAGUCUGGGCCGUAUCUCAGUCCCAAUGUGGCCGUCCACCCUCUCAGGCCGGCUACCCGUCGACGCCUUGGUAGGCCAUUACCCCACCAACAAGCUGAUAGGCCGCGAGCUCAUCUUGCACCGAAAAAACUUUCCACAACUGACACUAAACAGCUGUCCUAUCCGGUAUUAGACCCAGUUUCCCAAGCUUAUCCCGAAGUGCAAGGCAGAUCACCCACGUGUUACUCACCCGUUCGCCACUCGAGUACCCGCAGCAAGCUGCAGGCCUUUCCGUUCGACUUGCAUGUGUUAAGCACGCCGCCAGCGUUCGUCCUGAGCCAGGAUCAAACUCU